UGUGUAUACAAAUGAUCAUGGUACUAUAUUAUUGAUGGUCGCGUGACAGAUGGAUAAAUGGUGGUACCUAUGAUCUUUGGGGUGCACCUAUCACAGCAUUUAGUUUCUUUUUUUAGCGAAGGGUUACACAUUCCAUAUUUGUUUUCACGGUUGUCUGUUCCCAUGUAGGCAUCACAGCAUGCUGGUAUUCUGUUGUUCAGAUUUGCUAAAGCACUUUUGGAAGACUUGUCCAGCACAAGAUUUCUGUAUGAAAGGAAUGUGUGGCGUUGGCACGGGGCCGAAGGGAGAAGUUGUACCUCAAACAUUGGAGUUUUGAACUCAGGAAGUCUCAAUUAUUGGUCUGCCCACAACUCUGAGUUCCAGGAGAUGAAGGAUAUGCUCUGGCGGACUGGUGGCUGCAGAACAGAGCACGUUGCCGGAUGAGCUACAGAGCGUCCUUUGACUGCCUCUUCAUACUGGUAUGCUGGCUGAUUUGGAAGGAAAGAAACGGGAGAAUUUUCGACCAAUGUCUCAGGACGAUAGAGCACUUGGUGAAUGACAUCAAAGAGGAAAUUAUCAUCUGGACAGAGGCAUGAAUUUUUCGCCCGGGUAAUUAAUUGAGUAUACAGUUUCUGUCCAGUCUUUAGGCUUUUUCUGUUCACGGGACUGAGGCGUCUUGCAUUGGACCUGAUCGACAUCCUCCUAUCGAUGUAACACACUUGUGCACUUUAAUUUUCUUCCAAUUCUUAAUGAAAUUGGUCAGCCACCUC